CUCCACAAAAAUGAGAGCUCGCUGGGGGCCUGCAUAAUUGUUAAGACUGUAAAAAGUGCCUGAGGCCAAAGGUAUGGGGACUGCUUUUGUGGUGGGGCAGAGCCCUGGGCUUGGAGAAUUGAAAAUCAAUAGCAAUCCAGUUCUUCAUUAGCAGGUUGUGAACUCUGGGCAAGUCCCUUAAUUUUUCCGAGCCUCAGGUUUCUCAUCUAUACAAUGGGAGCCUAAUGGCCUCCUCAGAGGGUGAUUGUGAGAAUUUUGGGUCGCUCGCUGGAGCCUGUGAUCUGUGGAGCUGAGCUGUGUGUGGUGUUGAGGUGUUCCAGGGGGACGUGUUGAGUGGAUAGUGCCAUGGGGGGAGGGGAUACCAGUUUCCCCCACAAGGUAAAUAUGUGAGGAUUGGGAAAGUUGGUCAAAGGAAAGGAAUUCAGUUUGUGAAAUAGCUUCAAAGGGGAAUUGGAGGCAAUGUGUUUUGCCUUUGAUUAUUUUGACUGUAGCCACUGUUAACUUUUUUAAACUUCUGCUCAUGGUUCUCCUCUUCCUCUUUUCAACAGACAGAAAGGUCUUCUUAAGGUGCAACUAGCUGUCCCUUGCUGGGGUCCACUCAGGGAGGUAGCCUCCAUGUCUGCUGGACACAGAGCCCUGGGAAGUAGCUUCAGAGAAGUGCAAAGGCCCACAGGUGUCAAGAGGGGACCAGGCAUUAGUCCUGACCAGGCAGCUGAUGAGGGGCUUCACCACCAGACUUGCCAUGUUGGGGGCAGCAAAAUGGCCCUUCCAUCAGCCCGUCAUGGUGCUGAAUUUCUGCCACGUGAGAUUUCUUCUGUGGGCUCUGGUUCUUAUUUACCAGGAGCCUUAUUCUACCUAAGUAUAAAUAACAGAACAACUUGUCACCAGCCAACAAAUGCCUCAUGAUGGCCUUAUUUGUUUGAUAACAGAAAGCAGGGCUUUGGGAUCAUGACCUGGAGAACAGAUAAAUGUUGCAUGUCACAGCCCCUACUGAGUUUCCAGCCUCUGUGUCUUAGCUCUUGGUUCUCCUGGGGCCCCUAGAACCCAGCCGUGGGUUUAGGACCACUCCUGUCCUGGAGAGGAUGGGUCUCAAAUCUUUAAACACCAGGGACUUAGCAUUCUUCCUCCCUCAGCUCCCUUUUCCCUUAUCUGUUCCAAUUCUGAUUCAAGUCUUUUAUGACUCCCACCUAACAAGGUUCUACUUGCUUGAAGACUGAGAAAUAUCAAAUUGGAAAUUUGUAUGAUAUUUAGGAGCUUGUGUUGGCCCUGAGAUCUCUGUCUUCAUCUCGAUGAUGCAGCUUAACUACUGUUCUUCUAAUGAAUUUCUAGUGGCUUCUUUAAGGCCUCUAGUGGGUGGAGUUCACAGAGUACUGCUUCCUCUCCUAAAUGUCCACAUUCUGAUUCCUGGAAUUUGUGAAUAUGUUGCCUCACCUGGCAAAAGGGACUUUGCACAAGAUGUAAUUAAGUUAAGGCUCUUGAGAUCAGAGAUUAUCCUGGGUUAUCCGGAGGGCCUGAUGUAAUCACAAAGGUCCUUAGGAGAGGGAGGCAGGAGGGUCAGAGGCAGAGGAGAGGUGAUGAUGGAUGCAGAGGCUGGGCUGAUGUGGUUGCUGGCUGUGAAGAUGGAGGCAGGGACCCCGAGCCAAGAUUCCAGCCUCAAAAGCUGGAGAAGGCAAGCAAAUAGAUUUUCUCCUAGAAUUUCCAGGAAGGAGCACAAUCCUGCCAAUAUGACCCAUUGAAACCCAGUCUGGACUUCUGACUCCUGGGAUUAUAAUAUAAUAAAUUCGUGUUGUUUUAAACUGUAUUUUGGGGCUGCCUCCUAAAUGAACUACACUUACCCUUGUCUUUGCCUGAGGCCCUGCAUUUGGAAGAACACAAGCUGAAAUAGGUGGUAUCACAGCAUUGUCCGUCUCUCUCCUGGACUACUUUCAGAAGCUGAGGCCGUCUUUUGUAUGUCCUUGAAGAUGGCAGGCCUUUCAUCUUCCAGGAGGGGGAGUUUCCUACCAGCAGCCACACAUGAUCCAGGACAAAGCUUGGUACAAAAGGAGGUGACAAAUCACACUUGGUGUGGAGUGGGGGCUGGAGGCCCUGACAGAAGACUGGCUUUUGCUGAGAGUUGGCUUUAAGUCUGAUCUCUGUUGUGGCUCAGAUGGUAAAGAAUCUGCAUGAAAUGCAGGAGACACCGGUUCAAUCCUUGGGUCAGGAAGAUCCCCUGGAGGAGGAAAUGGCAACCCACUCUAGCAAUCUUGCCUAGAAACUCCCAUGGACAGAGGAGCCUGGGCUAUAACCCAUGGGGCCACAAAGAGUCAGACGUGGAUGAAACGACUAACACUUUCCCUUUUUCACUGAUCUUCAUUGUGCCUUUGCUUUGUGAUCUUGAGCAAGUGACUUGACUUCUCUGGGAUCCAGGACCUUCAUCUGGAAAAUGAAGGCCUGUAGCACUCAGCUCCCAGGUUUGUUAUGAGGAUCGAGCAUAUUUGUGAAGUUAUUUUGUGACUGAUAAACAGUUGUACAUACACGAAUUAUGAUUGGUUGAAGACAAGAUGGGGGGUGCAGUUCAAGAGCUUGGCACCAGUAAAUUGUGAAGGCCAGUGUCCCAUGGGAGUCUGAAUGCAUUUGAUUGGUGGGAGCAUCAUUAGAAGGGCUUCUCACGAGGCUUCUGGACCAGGACAACUAUUUUCUGGCUGUAGUCACCCUGGUAUGCUGGUUACGCAGCAGCUCUUGGUCCUCUGUGGGCGUGUCUUGGAGAUACUGUCUGUACGAGAAAUAGUGUUGGUUCUGAGCUUGCUUUGUGUGCAUUCAUAAACUAGUCCUUACAGAAAAACAUGUGAUCCUGGGGCUUGGCAGAAGACAUGCUGGUCUGGUGGGUGUGGGUCAGGGCAUUGGUGUAGAUGUGAACCCCAAACUGCGUUGUCCAUUCAUUCAGAAAAUAGAUUUAUCAAGCCACUGCUGUGUUCCGAUCACUAUGCUGGUGUGUUGGGGGUACAGCAGGAAGCCCUGCCCCUUCUGGGACCACAUUCCAAUGGAGGAUAAGGUGAUAAACAAAUGUGAUGAAGGAUGAUAAAGCAAAAUGAGUAAAUGGAGUGGCACUGAGGCAUGGAUUCCGACUUAGAAUCUUGAGAGAUCUGGGGUAAAGGCAGGGGCAACAGGCAAUGCAAAGGCCCUGAGGUAGGAGAAAGAGAGAGGAGAGGGAGGAAGAAGAAGGGGAGGAGACUGGGGGAGGAAGAGACUGGAGGUAAAGUGAGAGAACUCAGAGAGGUGGUGGGGACAUGGGAGGCCAGGUCAUGCAGGGCUUUGUAGGCCAAUGGAAAAUUCAAGUCCAAUGACUCCUUAUAUGUAAAGUGAGGGCUUGGACUAGGCAAGGAGUUUUCAACUCUAAAAUGUCUGGCUUUAAAAAGCACCAAUGGAAAAAAAAAAUGUACCAGUGCCCAGGCCCCACCUAGCAUCUCUGGAGACCAAGCCUGAGUUUAUUACUUCCCCCUGACUGCCCCCACAGCUCCCACAGCCCCACCUCCACCCCAGGUGACUUUGUAGGCAGCCGCAAUCAAAAACCACUGGACCAAAAUGCCUUCAGGGCCAGCAGGAAGAGCUUCCCAUGGGGAUACCUCCCUCCCUUCUGUCCCUCUGGGCAUCUUCCUUAGGCUGAGACCAGCUCCAGCCUAGGCCGGCAGCCUGCCUCCCCAUCAAACAUCCUGAUCUGCAGGAAGAGAAGAUGAGCCAUGUCUAGGCCUUCUUCCUAUCCAGGGACCCGGGGACCAGAGGGCACAAGGCAGCGGCCACCCUUGGCCCGGGAGAUUUUGUUUACUGUGCACAUUUCACUUCUACAGGGCCCACAGCUGCGAUCUUGCCUCAUCGCAGUUGCCAGCAAUGGGGGGCGGGCUUCACCCCGCCUGCUAGUCUCCCAAGUUCCUCUUUUGGGCAUGUGCCUGCCCCUCCGUGUUCCCGUGGCUGCGUGGAAGUGGACCGAGGCCCAGAGGGUGACUAAGAGGGGAAGCCCCUGCGCCGAGGCUCCCAGCGGCUCCUGGAUUGCGUAAGGGCUAUUUUUGAGGCAAUUGCAGACCAUCUGAUGAAUCAUAGCAAACACACAUGGCCCUGGUGCUGGGGACAAUCCUUCCUCAUGAAGCUGUGGAAAGCGGAGCUUCUCAAAAUGAAUCAGCAGCAGCUGAACCCCACGUCCGUGGGAGGAGGAGAGCUGGAGUGGUUUUGGAUAAAAGCUGGGGCCUGAAGGGGCACUGGAGAGAGGAAAACCUGAAGUCAGGAACAAACAAUCCUAAACUUAGUAUGGAACCACAAAAGACCCUGAAGUCAGAGCAAUCUUGAGAAAGAAGAACUAAGCUGGAGGCAUCGUGCUCCCUGAUCUCCAACUAUAUUACAAGGCUAUAGUGACUAAAGCAGUAUGGUAAUUAACGUUAAAAUAGAUACAUAGAUCCAUGGAACAGAAUAGAGGGCACAGGAAUAAACCCAUGCAUGCAUGGCCAAUAAAUUUAUGACAUAGGAACCAAAGAUAUACAAUGGGGAAAAGACAGUCUUUUCAAUAAGUGAUUUUGGAAAAAAUGGAUGGCCACAUGCAAAAGAAUGGAACUGGAGCACUCUCUUACACCUAUUUUAACCUUACAAAAAUUAACUCAAAAUGGAUUAAAGACUUGAAUGUCUAAGACCCAAAGCCAUAAAAUUCCUAGAAGAAAGCAUGGGGUGAGCUGCUUUGAAUAGGUCUUGGUGAUAAUUGUUUGAGUCUGACUCUAAAUGCAAAAGCAACAAAAGUAAAAAUAAACAAGUGGGACUAUAUCAACUUAA